CCGCUGGAUGAUGAAGAGAUGGUUUCGUACAUCCUCACCGGACUCGACAUUGAAUUUAAUCCAGUCGUGUCCACCAUCGUCGCGCGAGUUGAACCAAUCACUAUAUGUGAAUUGUACAUGCAUUUAUUAAGUUUUGAAA